rnacentral:rRNA from 1 species
AGUGUCUAUAGUGAAGGUGUUACACCCAUCCCCAUACCGAACAUGGAAGUUAAGCCCUUUUACGCCGAUGAUACUGCCGCUCUAAGCGGUGGGAAAGUAGGAAGAUGCUU